GAACAGAGUCAGCUAUCUGUCUAUGAAGAGUCAUGGUCCAUACAUUUUCCUCCAUACUUCAGUGGAGAACCUCGACCCUCAGACACAAACGGUCAGUACCACAGACAGAGAGCAGAGUCUACAGUAUCCAGCUGUCUGUCUAUUUAAGAGUGACAGGUCCAUGUAUUAUCCUCCAGACUUCAGUGGAGAACCUCGACCCUCAGACACAAACGGUCAGUACCACAGACAGAGAGCAGAGUCUACAGUAUCCAGCUGUCUGUCUAUGAAGAGUG